UACAGAGGUCCCAAGCGUUGUUCGGAUUCAUUGGGCGUAAAGGGUGCGUAGGUGGCGCCGUAAGUGGGGUGUGAAAUUUCGGAGCUUAACUCCGAAACUGCAUUCCAUACUGCGGUGCUUUGAGGACUGGAGAGGAGACUGGAAUUUACGGUGUAGCAGUGAAAUGCGUAGAGAUCGUAAGGAAGACCAGUGGCGAAGGCGGGUCUCGUGGACAGUUCCUGACACUGAGGCACGAAGGCCAGGGGAGCAAACGGG
rnacentral:rRNA from 1 species